GAUGAACGCUGGCGGCGUGCCUAAUACAUGCAAGUCGAGCGAAUGGAUUAAGAGCUUGCUCUUAUGAAGUUAGCGGCGGACGGGUGAGUAACACGUGGGUAACCUGCCCAUAAGACUGGGAUAACUCCGGGAAACCGGGGCUAAUACCGGAUAACAUUUUGAACCGCAUGGUUCGAAAUUGAAAGGCGGCUUCGGCUGUCACUUAUGGAUGGACCCGGGUCGCAUUAGCUAGUUGGUGAGGUAACGGCUCACCAAGGCAACGAUGUGUAGCCGACCUGAGAGGGUGAUCGGCCACACUGGGACUGAGACACGGCCCAGACCCCUACGGGAGGCAGCAGUAGGGAAUCUUCCGCAAUGGACGAAAGUCUGACGGAGCAACGCCGCGUGAGUGAUGAAGGCUUUCGGGUCGUAAAACUCUGUUGUUAGGGAAGAACAAGUGCUAGUUGAAUAAGCUGGCACCUUGACGGUACCUAACCAGAAAGCCACGGCUAACUACGUGCCAGCCGCCGCUGUAA
rnacentral:rRNA from 1 species